AAGGGAAGGGAAGGCAAUGGAAGGGAAGGGAAGGGAGAGGGAGCGCCCAGAUCCACGGCGGCAUCAGCGCGCUGUCGUCGACCUGAUCCGCGUCCGUCCUCGAGGGAGGUCGGCCAUGGAGGUCCGACGCGGCCCAGCAGCAGCCAUGGACGGACGGAAACACCCCAAACCCUACCUGGGACGACGCCUCAACCUUCAAGGACGCGCGCCGGCGACCGCAGAUCUCCGGUGACGGCUAUGUUGAGAUGACUGCCCCGGAUCUGGACGCACAACCUGCAGCUGCAGCAACAGUUGGACGACCGAACGCACGAGCCCUCCUUCCCUCCCUCAUGGCUCUGCUUCCUCCUACCCUGCCCCCUCACGUGGGCAUGGUGAGCUUCCUACCCCCCGUGCACAUCUCAUCUAAUCUCAUCAAAUCUAGAUUUCUCUGGACGUAUUUAUUGUUCUAGACACAACUUGAUUCUCUUCAGUUUGAUGUCACUCCUUUCCUGCCGGAGUGAGUCAGUCAAAUACUCCUACUAGCAGUAUAAGAUGUUUGCUGACUUUGAAAAAUGAUAGAUAGUAAAAAAACGCUAAUGAGGUUGUGCAGCGGCGGACGUAUGACUGCUACCUGCACAAGCGGAUGGCCCUGCGAGCCGGACCAACCUCCAGCUGCUGUGGCGUACCACGGGCAGAUUUAUCCCAACGAGGAAACAAGGAGCCCAAAAAUUAAAUUAAAACAAAUCGACGCCAACAGCGAUGGGGGUGAGUAAGCUAUUCAUAUUUCUUUUCGUCUGUGGAUGCAUUGAUGGUUUGUAUUUCACAUUUUGUUUUAUUAUUAUUGUUAUAUACAUUACGGUCUUGUUUCUUGCGGUCAUACACAUUAACUUUGCAGUCACGUCUUCACAUCACAUUUGACCUGCAGCAAUUGGUUGUGUGUCCAAUGUACAUGUCUAAAUUUUGUUUAGGUGGAUGUCACGCAUGCUUUGGUUGUGUGUGCAAUGACUUUUCUGUGGUAUAACCCUUCAUAUUAUUACCCGCAAAAAAACCCUGAAUAUUAUUAGUUGACCGUUUACAUGUUUGAAUAACCUUUACCGUCACGCUAAAGCCUAAAAGGUAGUUAGGUAGAGAGUCUCAAGUCACCAUUCGAUCAAAAACUAUUUAGUAAGUUGUUGUUCUCUAAUUUCUCAGCGAAUGAGCACAAAUUCAGAAGGGUACGUACACAAAAGAACCCAUGUACAAAGUCUCUACUCUUUUACCAGGCUAUCCACCAUCUACACAGCAGGAUUCACAAAGCCAUGUGGAUGCUACCAAAGUGAUAAAAUUUGGAUGUUUUUGGAAAUAUAGCAUCAUAGGCCCAGUAAAGGGGAAAAAGCCAACAUCAUGAAGAAUGCAUUAGGAUAAUGAUUUUACCUUGGGGUUAUAAUCUGCAUUACGUGCCUAGAGAGCUAUUUGCUUUCAAGUCCAAUUUACAAUCCAGGCGCUGACCGUCGACACAAUAUUCUUGUCAUCAAAUCAGACACCAGAAAGCAGAGUACACCCAGGAGAAAUCAGACUAGGAAAUAUCUCUGGCUCAUACUGUCAAGUAACCAUAUAAAAUAUCAUUUCCAACACAAGGAAAGAGAUAAGUUCUGGGAAAGAAAGAAUAAAAAUAUCAUACAUGAUAAAAUAGUGCUGAGAGAACAGAUUUCAACUUAGUAACUUACACUUCAGAAAGCGUCGUGAAAAUAUGUGAGACCCUCAAGCCUGAUAGCUUCUUGAUGUAAUGGUUCUUUGUGUUUGUCCUUCCAUUCAAGACAAAUAUACCUGGUCAAAAACCUAAUGGUUGAAAAACAUAUGUACUGAUCAAUUAGUGAAACAAAGUUGUAUCACUGAUGCUGUGUUUUUCAUUGAAGCAAAAUAUGACAAUGUACUAAUCUAAUAGUGCAGAUGUAGAUUAUCUCGCCUAACCUGGUCGCAUGCUUCAAAGUUAGAUUUUGGCCCAGUAUAUAUUUAAUGUGUACAGUUCACAGAAAUAAUAAUGGUUUAUUUUAUUUCGUUACAAGCGCCGACAGACCAUGACGCUUGAAGAUAUGGAGGCGACAAAUCUGUGCCGAUCCCCUCUUGGUGAUAACUCUAGCUGAGCCCCUCUUGGUGACAUUCCUAAUCUUGAGCAUCCUUCCCAAAUCCUAUAUACCUAAGAGAUUCACCCCCACUAUCCUAUUUAUCUUAACAUGCAAGUUAUCCACAUCAGCAGUCCACUCACAUCAGCGCUCCGUUACCGAAUUACAAGAGGGACCCACCACAGGUUGACAUGGAUUCUCUGCCUCCACGUCACCUCAACUUCUUCUACCAAGUUGUGUCACACACACGUCACCUCAACUUCUUCUACCACAUUGUGUCACACACACAUGCUGUGCGUUAUCACGUUGUGCGGCACGCAGCAAAUGUAGGUGGCAUACGAAACGAGGGCCUGCCCAUAUUCCUUUCAUCCACUAUCUCGCCACUGAUCAUUAAUAGGCCCGUUUACUAGGAUAAAGCCAGUUCGUCUCACACAAAUCAUGAACGAAUCAUUGCGCCUUCCAACUGGGUGCUACUGCGACGGGGCGGCGGCGGACAUGUAGCAGAGCACCGGUAUCCAUUAACUAGAGGAAUAGGUGUCAGGCAGGCAGCGGUGAGGACGUAGCAGCAGCCAGCAGGCGAGGCGCCACACACCGACGACAACGAUCGUAGACUGAACGCUCCAGCUAGGGCUGAGGUAUGUCAAAAUAUCAAUUAAUCUUUUUGCCUAAUUUUUGGACAGAUUGGUUUGGUGAAUCGGUUUAUCUAAUCACAUCAUAGAGAUAACGAGUACUUCUUUUUCGUAGUGAAUAAUUUGUGCAUCAUUAAAUUUUGGACCGAUUUAUCUACGUUCAAUACUGUCAAAAUUCUGCAGCCGCCACUGGGUACUACUGCAAGGGUCGAACAAGCAGAACGAGAGUGCCAGAUCGAUAGAGAAGAACACCGCUACAUGACCAGAAACUGGAGCCCUAUGUUGCCAUCAUGGACAUGGAUCGGAAGGCUCUGAAUUACGCCAGAUGCAUUCAUCCCUACAAACUAUAAUAUUUCGGGGCAACCUUUUAAUCAUAAUUUAAUUUUAUUAAUAUCUGUGUAAAUGCAGAUAACUCAUCAUGCUUAUUUCUAGGAAUGGAACUAAGCUUCAUCAAAUUCAAAAGCAUGUAUAAUGCUGCGCACUACACAAAACAAACAAAAAGAAUGAGAACAACCUGAGUAUACUGUCAUGAAUGGUAGCAGUAUGUUGCACAAGGUUGAUCCGGUGAGAAGCAUGAUUUACUCAAUAGUGUACCUCGUGAUUUAUCAGUGAUAUCUUUUAACAGAAAAUUAGAUUAUUAGUGAACUCACAUUUUUUCUUCUGAGCAAGCUAUGUUUUUAUGGAAUGGAUAGUUAAUAGUUGUCAUCGUUGUUUCAGGUUUUUUCCAAGGGCUGAGAUGUCUCUACUUAAAGGUGUUUUUUUUUGCAUCAGCUUGGUUUUUUUUUUGCGGGUGAUGUAUCACCUUGGUGAUAUACUUUUUUUGCGGGGAACCUUCGUGAUAUACUAUUAAGGUAAUAAAGGAGAAGAAGUUUAUCAAAGAAGGUAAUAAUUAGUAAAAAAAAUCACGUGCACACAAUUUAAGCUUUUCAACACUUUUAUCUUAUUCUAAACAAUAUUUUUUUCCAAGAAUGUUAUUUAAAAAACACAUUUAUCAUAUUCUAAACAAUAUUUUUUCCAAAGAAUAUUCUUUAUCAUCGCACAUACUAAAAUUCAUGUGCACACAAUUUUAGCUUUUCAACACUAUUCUCUCUUAUUCUAAACAAUAUUUUUUUCCAAGAAUAUUAUUUAUCAUCGGCACAUACUAUCUCAUGUUUCUAAACAUCAAAUUAUUUGUUAGAAAUUCCCGCAACAACGUGCGGGGUAUCAUCUAGUGACUCCAGUGCCCGUGCCAGGUAAUUGCGAGCAUAAUUUUUUGUUGUUGAUCGCAUUGGGGCAUACAUAUAGUUGAUACGGCUUUUCUACUGUUAAAUUCUUGCUGCAGAAAUACAAAAAUUAUAUAUAAAUCAGAACGAACAUCACAACAUGUUCUUAAACACAAUGGUGUUAGCACACAAAAAUCUAGCUAACAACAGGAACUACGGUUUUAACCCAGGCUAUUAACUAAGGUAAGGGAGAGAAUUUAACUGGAAAUUACCUCUUGGUGCAAGUAGUACAUGUGCUUUCAAGAGGAGCCAACGAUGCGGCCAACCAUGCUUAAAAUGAUACACAGUGCAAAUCCCACGCCUCUGGAUUCCUCUUCAUCAGCUCACUUGAGUAAUGCCCUGCUUGUUUAGCAAAUAAAUCUUAGUUGUGUCUGGAAGAUGAUACAUAGCUGUCUAUUAUAUCAUGAAGAGCAUGGCUCCAAUGUAUUUCAGGUACUUAUGUCUAGCUUCAACAGAUGGCAUCUCUAAUAUUCUGAAUCUUUCUUUUUCCGGAUAAUGCAUCUGUAUGUCUGCAUUCAUAUGCUUAUGUAUAUCCUUGAAUCCAUUUUAGUCAAACAUUGCGAUCAAUAGCUCACAAGAAAAAAGAACAUUGUACAGUAGAAGAGGCAUAUGUGAAUACAUUGCGCAAAUAACUGAUACCAGUUUUCUGAACUAGCCUGGUGGUACUUCAGAACAACAUUGUAUUCUCCAAAAAUAUGAAGGUAUGAAAAGAAGUAUUCUACACUUUGGAAAUUCAGAGAUUAAUUGGCUACAUUGGUGCAUUACCUAUCGGCCUGGGGUGGCCUGCCAUGGAGAUCGACGAGGCAGCAGCGCGACUGUGCUCAGCGCAGUUUGAGUGGGGUAGAAGACAGAGAAGUCCAUCGCUGCACGCAGCGCAUCCACGGCUGGCGGAGCAUCGCGAUUAGGACUAGCUGGAAGUGCUACUUCGAGUAUAGAGCACCGCCAACUAGCGUAAUGUUUCGUAUUCGUUUUAUCCGUUGUACUAUGCACUGACAGCCGGACUGACUCAUCUGCUGCAAGCACUGCAUAUGUAUAGUACAGGCGAAAGGACACAAUAUUACCGUUGCACCGAACACUAUAUAAAGUAAACACUUCACCCAGCUGCAUGUAUUUAAGGCUCAUGCACCAGCCGCUGCGUGCAGGACCGAUCGUUUUGCUUCAAACACGCACACAAGCACCCGAGUUGCUGCGAUCCGUUGACGUCGCCGUGCCGCGAUGUCCCAGAGCUCAUCUUCCGCUCGUCGUCUCCGGACACCCCUGCCCCCGCUGCCAUUGAUCCUGUGCCCGAGGUGUGCCGGGACGAGGACUAGAUGGUUUGUCUCCGGGAUAGACCGGAAUCCCGGCGUCCGUUUUUACAAGUGCCCGAACCAGGGGACGGAGGCCCGUGCGACUUUUGGUUGUGGGAUCACCAGCGUUGGCAUCAACCUUCUCAUCAAGGCGGCCGGAGGUGGGAGCAACGUGAUGUUUGGUAUCGGACGCGCCAUGGAAGAUGUACAUUUUUUUGGUCAAUGAAAAAUAACCAGUGUACAUAAUGCCGGGGCACGCGUACUACUGUAACCGAACACCGGGUCAUGAUUAAGAAAACG